rnacentral:rRNA from 1 species
GACGAACGCUGGCGGCGUGCUUAACACAUGCAAGUCGAACGGAAAGGCCCCUUUGUGGGUCCUCGAGUGGCGGACGGGUACGUAACACGUGCGUAAGCUGCACUUGCCUUCGAGAGAAGUUCAAGAAACUGGGGCGAAUACUGGAUAGGAAUCCUUGCUUUAUGCACGGGGUUGGAAAGCUUAGGCUGUUUUGGCUUGACUCACGGCUUAUCAGCUUGUUGGUUGGGUAGUGGCUUACCAAGGCUUUGACGGGUAGCCGGCCUGAGAGGGGGACCGGCCACAAUGGGACUGAGAGACGGCCCAGACGCCUACGGUAGGCAGUGGUGGGGAGUCUUGCACAAUGGGCGGGAGCCAGAUGCAGAGGCGCCGGGAGCGUGAUGACGGGCUGGGGGUUGAGAACCGUGUUCAGCAGGGGAGGAGCAUGAGGUGACGGUACCUGCAGAAGAAGCACCGGCUAACUACGUG